GGAGGAGUUCUGCUUGGGGAAUUCGAUUCUUCUUCAUUUUACACUGGAGGGCAGAGUCUCAACCAACUGAGCUACAAGGGAAGUCGAUACGGAUGGGUUUAAUAAAAUCUUGGGCAUACGUAGAUGACACUUCUAUCAAAAUGAUCAGCAGACCAAAGAGGAACUUUCAUCCCAAUGGUGAGAUGUUUCCACUCUCCAGACUUAUAAGGACUACCCUAACUUUGCAAACAACCGCUCAAGUCUGUGAUGAAUUGCCCCUCAGUGGUGGCAGGAAAAGUUCACACCCGUGAUCGUCACGCUCAUCAGACGCAAGAUUUACACAGCGCUUUGUACUUUACACCAUAUCUCACUGGAUC
ensembl:lncRNA